rnacentral:rRNA from 1 species
UACGUAGGUGGCAAGCGUUGUCCGGAUUUACUGGGCGUAAAGGAUGCGUAGGCGGAUACUUAAGUCAGAUGUGAAAAUCCCGAGCUUAACUUGGGAACUGCAUUUGAAACUGGGUAUCUAGAGUGUGGGAGAGGAAAGUGGAAUUCCUAGUGUAGUGGUGAAAUGCGUAGAGAUUAGGAAGAACACCAGUGGCGAAGGCGACUUUCUGGACCAUAACUGACGCUGAGGCAUGAAAGCGUGGGGAGCAAACAGG